rnacentral:lncRNA from 1 species
CAUGAAAUUGACAACGUCAUCAUAGGUCAAAUAGCGAUAAACAGAUUAUCAUUGGUCAUCUCAACUCGAUUGCUUUUCUCACUUUCGCCGUACCGGCUCAAAGAUAAUUAUACAUUAUCAUUGGUUAUCUCAACGAGAUUGAUCGUCUCGCUUGAGCCUGUAUGACAAAAGUGAGAAAAGCAAUCUAGUUGAGAUGACCAAUGAUAAUCUGUUUAUCGCUAUUUUACCUAAGAAGACGUUGUUUAUUUCCUUGACAACAGCACAUGUUCCCUUAGUUUCAAGCAAUAAUUUUCAUAUCACUAGACUCCAUUUUCAUAUCACUGGACUCCGUUGAGAAAGGAAAUUAUCAGUCAGCAAGAUUAAUGAAAUUUUCGUAAAAUAGCGAUAAUCUUUAAUUAUAGCAAGACAGUAGAAAUGGACAAAAAUGAAGUUUAAAAUGAGUGAUCAAAAUUGAAGGGUGAAAGAAAGAUUUUGGAUAAUAUGAUAUUAUAAUAUGAUUA